CCUACGGGAGGCUGCAGUGAGGAAUAUUGGUCAAUGGGCGCGAGCCUGAACCAGCCAAGUAGCGUGAAGGAUGACUGCCCUACGGGUUGUAAACUUCUUUUAUAAAGGAAUAAAGUGAGGCACGUGUGGCGCCACUGAGAGUACCCGGAGAAAAAGCAUCGGCUAACUCCGUGCCAGCAGCCGCGGUAAUACGGAGGAUGCGAGCGUUAUCCGGAUUUAUUGGUUUUAAAGGGUGCGUAGGCGGAUCGUUAAGUCAGUGGUCAAAUUGAGGGGCUCAACCCCUUCCCGCCAUUGAAACUGGCGUUCUUGAGUGGAAGAGAAGUAUGCGGAAUGCGUGGUGUAGCGGUGAAAUGCAUAGAUAUCACGCAGAACCCCGAUUGCGAAGGCAGCAUGCCGGCUUCCGACUGACGCUGAAGCACGAAAGCGUGGGGAUCGAACAGGAUUAGAUACCCGUGUAGUC
rnacentral:rRNA from 1 species